UACGGUAGGGCGCAAGCGUUAUCCGGAAUUAUUGGGCGUAAAGAGCUCGUAGGCGGUUUGUCGCGUCUGCCGUGAAAGUCCGGGGCUCAACUCCGGAUCUGCGGUGGGUACGGGCAGACUAGAGUGCAGUAGGGGAGACUGGAAUUCCUGGUGUAGCGGUGAAAUGCGCAGAUAUCAGGAGGAACACCGAUGGCGAAGGCAGGUCUCUGGGCUGUAACUGACGCUGAGGAGCGAAAGCAUGGGGAGCGAACAGG
rnacentral:rRNA from 1 species